rnacentral:rRNA from 1 species
AUUGAACGCUGGCGGCAAGCUUAACACAUGCAAGUCGAACGAGCGGCGGACGGGUGAGUAAUGUCUGGGAAACUGCCUGAUGGAGGGGGAUAACUACUGGAAACGGUAGCUAAUACCGCAUACCAUCGGAUGUGCCCAGAUGGGAUUAGCUAGUAGGUGGGGUAAUGGCUCACCUAGUCGACGAUCCCUCGCUGGGCUGAUAGGAUGACCAGCCACACUGGAACUGAGACACGGUCCAGACUCCUACGGUAGGCAGCAGUGGGGAAUAUUGCACAAUGGGCGCAAGCCUGAUGCAGCCAUGCCGCGUGUGUGAAGAAGGCCUUCGGGUUGUAAAGUACUUUCAGCGAGGAGGCGUUACCCGCAGAAGAAGCACCGGCUAACUCCGUGCCAGCAGCCGCGGUAAUAC